AUAAAGACAAUUUAAUGGCCGCGGUAACACUGACCGUGAUAAUGUAACGCAAUCAAUAUUCAAUUAAUUGUUGGCCGGUAUGAAUGGUGUCACGAAAGUCUCACUGUCUUAAGGAAAUUUCCAGCGAAAUUGAAUUUGUAGUGAAGAUGCUACAUCCAAAUUGUUAGACAAGUAAGUCCCCAUGGAACUUUACUGGAGACUUAUGUGGCUAAAAUUAAUUUAUUUCUUACAAAUAAAUGGUUUUAAAAUGUGGUGUUAACCCCUCGGAUUGACUAGGGUUAUAAAAGAUCACUCUUUUAUUUAAAGAAAGCCAACUCAAAAGUUUAUGUUUUUGGGACUUGAUAAGUGGGACAGUUUGGUUGGGGCGACCGCCUUUUAAAAAGUAACGAAGGCGGGCUUAAGAUACAUAUUUAGUGAUGUCUGACUGCCAAGGGGAGAUCCUGAGCAGACACUUACUUUUUAGGUGGGUUUAAGUGACCCGUUAAUUUAGG
rnacentral:rRNA from 1 species